GCUGGGAGUGGGAAGAGCAGCUGUGGUGGUGGCUCGCAGACAGGUACUGCAUUUUGAUAAAUUGAAGGUUUGUGGAACGCUGCAUUGAGCAAGUCUAUUGGUACCAUUUUCCAACAGCAUGUGCUCACUUCAUGUCUCUGUGCCACAUUUGGUUUUUGCAAUCUCCAGGAACGCCAGGCCACAUGAUUGAAACAGUUGUUCAAUUUUUCUUGCUGAAGAUGGUGAACUGGGUUAAGUUUAGAAACAACCAUAGCUGGAAAAAGUAUGACUUUGUUAGCUGCUUACUUCCUUUUCAGAGAAAAAAUACUUUUCUAGUUUCUUUCUUUAGUUACAAAAAUAAUAUGUGCUAAUUAUAACAAGCCAAUCAAUGGAGAGGCCUGCGGAUAUGAAGUUCAUAGUCAUUCAUUCACUCUUCUGCAGAGUGGCUCCCCAAGGCAGCCAACAUUGACAAGCAGGCUUGUGUGUUUCCACACUGUCUCUUGAGCGAGGCUUAUUUAGUCUACACUUGCCUCCUUUAAAGCUGUUCACAAGCAGAUGAGGAUCAAUCUCGGAUUCUAGAAGGAAGAACCCAGCCCCUACUGUUAGAAGGAGCAGUGAAGGCGGCAGGUCAAAGCACAGCCUGGAGCCGACUGUCUGUGUCCAAAUCCCACUUCACCACUUGCUGCAUAACUGGAGCAGAUGAUUCAGCUUUUCUCUGCCUUAACUGACUCAUGUAAAUGGGGAUAUUAAAAUAUCACAUAUGGAUUAUUAUAUUGACUAGGAAGUUAAUGCAAUACAGCAUGCAUAGCAGUUAGUAAGCACUCAAUAAAUGGUAGAUAUUAUUAUUUUCUCUCUUGUGGGAGCAACAAAAGUGAAAAGAAUGACCCUUUGGUAACUGGGGAUCUGAGUAUACACAGACUGUACCAAUCAUAACCACAAUCACCAAAAAAACUACAUUUGUGGAGGCUUAGUGUUAACACAGUCCCAAAACACUUCAUCUAUUGAUUCCCUUAUAUGGCUAGAAUUUAACAUUAAUUCUUUUUUCAUUUUUCAGGAAUAAUAAAGAACAUCAAUAAAAUUAUAGGCAUAAUUUUUAAACAAUUUUAUUGAAGAAUAAUUAUAUGUAAUAAAAUUCACUGGCCGGGUGCAGUGGCUCAUGCCUGUAAUCUCACCACUUUGGGAGGCCAAGGCGGGGGGAUUACUUGAGGCCAAAGUUUAAGACCAGCUUGGGCAAAAAAGCAAAAGCCUGUCUUUACUCUCUCUCUCUCUCUCUCUCUCCAUAUAUAUAUAUAUAUAUAUAUAUAUAUAUAUAUAUAUAUAUAUAUUUUUUUUUUUUUUUUUUUUUUUUUUUUUUAAAUAGCCAGGUGUAGUGGUGUGCGCCUCAAGUCCCAGCUACUUUCAAGGGGCUGAGGUAAGAGGAUUGCUUGAGCCCAGUAGUUGCAGGCUGCAAUGAGCUAUGAUCCCACCACUGUACUCCAGCCUGGGUGACAGAGUGAGACCUUGUCUCUAAAAAUAAAUAAAUAAGUAAAUACAAAUUUUUAAAAAUAAAAAUUCAUCCAUUUUAAGAAUACAAUUAAAUAAGUUUUAGUAAAUUUACCAAGCUGUGCAACCAUCACCACAACCCAGUUUCAGAACAUUUACAUCACCCUUGGAAGCUCCCUCAUGCCUGUUUACAGUUAACCCCAGUUCCUAUCCCCAGCUCUGGGCACCAUUAAUCUACUACUCUCUGUCUCUAUGACUUUGCUUUUUCUGGACACUUCAUAUAAAUGGAUUAUGCAGUAUGUGGCCUUUUGUAUCUGACUUAUUUCGUUAACAUAAUGUUUUAAAGAUCCAUCUACACUGAAGUACGUAUCAGUAUGUGUUCCUUUGUACUGAGGAACUGUAUUCCACUGUAUGGAUAUACCACAGUUUGUUCAUCCAUUCGACAAUGGAUGGACAGUUGGUUGUGUCCACUUUUUAGCUAUUAUGAAUAAUGUCACUAUGAACAUUUGUGUACAAGUUUUUGGGUGGACUUACGUUUUUAUUUCUCUUGGGUAGAUACAUAGAAGUGAAUAUAGUACAUUUAUAUUUAACUUUUUGAAACUAUUAAACUGUUUUCUACAGUGAUCGCACCAUUUUAUAUUCCCACCAGCAAUGUGUGAAGGUUCUACAGGUCUAAACUUAAAGGUCAAAAUAGAAAGAAGAUCUAAAAAUACAUGAAUUCAAGUGCUGAAUGUCCGUUCUCUGACACUGGUUAUCUUCUAAACUCCCCUUUAAUGAAAGGACAGGGAGAAUCCUUCCCCUGCCUUCCCCAGAUUCUCAUUUCCCAUAUUUUGCUGUUUGGCUAAGUGGGGGCUCCCUCACCUCAUUUAGUCCUGCUAAUUCAGGGAAAGCAACCCUGUGCUCCUCCACUCCUAGCAACCCUAAGAGGCUAUCUAAAGUGGAAAGAACAUUUUACAAAUGCAAAUUCAGUCCUUGGGUAUGGCAAGAGAAGAGUUAAUGCAGUUUGUAAUAAUUAUUGACUACAAGAACUGCAAAUGAUUGCAUAAAAUUUCUAAAAUAUGCCUGCAAGGUUCUCUUAUUGAUGUGUUGCCCCCAGGGGUACACAUAUGGGUUUAAGUGUCUAAACUGUUUUAUUAAUUAAAUUGCUAUGAUUUACCUCUCCCAUGUUAGCAUUUACAGUUUAUGAAACAGCCCUGUAAUUAGAAAAUGAUGUACUAGUGUUGCUUGUUUACUUUGUGGGUGAAAUAUUAUACACACACAGAUGUGUAUGUGUAUAUAUAUACACUCACUUAUAUAUGUUUAUAGACACACACAUGUGCACGCGCGCACACACACACACAAAGUGUUUUUUCUUGGGUCAACCCUCAUAGGCUACUUUAUUUCUAGUCCAAUUAAUAGGCAACCUCCAGUGGUGCAUUAAAUUGGUUUUUAGCGGGAGGGGGAGGAUAACUGAGAAGUUCAUUGUUCCUGCUGAGGUGUGUCAUGGCAUCCAUGUAUGUUUGUUUAUUUUCCCUCCAUAGACAGACAAUUGAAAUCACAAGAAUUUAUUGUAAAAAAAAAAAUCUGUUGAGAACAGCCCUGAGGAUACUUCAGCAAAUCCUAAAACUGUACCUACUUUAAUUAUACAGCAUCUUAUUAUCUUCUGCGUCCAUUCUGAAGGUAUAUGUAGGAAUAUAUAAUAUAAAUUACCUGUGCUACAUAGACAAUGCCUAAAUAAAGUUGUUGUUGAAGUGCUU
rnacentral:lncRNA from 1 species